UAGUGUGUCCGUAUAAAAUUGUACAAUGCCUCGCCGCUAGGUGUUUAGUUCGCUAUCGCGUAGCACUAUUUAGGGUUUUUGAUAUUCCUGUUUAUAUGCAUUCAUGUGCAUCGUGCAUCUCAAUUAGGUACGAUAAUUGAUCGUGUGAUGCGGAAGACGAGCCAAGUCGACCCCAAGCGCGGACUACUCCGCAUGGAGAUGCUGAUAAACGAACCUACCUGAUCAAGUGCUAGGACAAGGAUGAUCGUCAAGUGGACGUCACCUAACAACACUAACGUAGUGUUUAUUCCAGGCAAGCCCCGGUGCAUGCAACCCCUUCCUUGUGUUUUUAAAUAAUUUUUGCACACUUUAAGUCUAGUGAAAUGUGCAUUAGGUUUAUAGGAGUUGCUUGGAAACCCUUUGAUGCAUUGCCUUCCUUGAAAUCCAUACCUUUAUAGAUACUUCUGGUGAAGUAUCAAAAUAUGAUUUACAAAAAUGCUUAGCCCUGCUCAGAUCUUGUGGAUAGAGGUUGUCUUUUGCGUUAAGGCCUUGCUCAGGGGUUAUCCUGAGGAAAGAUGGCUUCUACCUGCAAAAAUAUUUUCAUUGAGACCGUGGUGGGAUCUUACUGCAAAGUUCCCUAUAAUGCUCUUUUCAUCCUAGGGAGCACAAACACUCCUAAGGAUGGAAGUACUUAAAUCGGGACUUGGGCUAGGAACAGGUGAUGCUCCGCCCGGGUCAAUUAAGGAUUGGAUGUGUAUGUAGGCCUGAUAGAUCAAGGACUAUCUUAACUGGCCACAUGCCCUGAAAAUGGGACAGGGUAAGCUUGAACCCGGCUAUUCCAUACGUGAAAAGACAACCGCGCACUGGGCGUGGGAGAUGGUGGGAGUAGCGUGUGCCCUCCUGGCUAGAGGCUGGAUGGAGGAGUACUGUGCUCCCGGGUAGCGCGGACCGGUUCACGUUGUGGAGGAUCUGUGGGAACGGUUGACAUAUGCAAGGGUUAAGUGCUACAUAUGUCGUGUGGUUAGAGAUCCUCAGCUGAGUAAAUCGAUUCGGAUCGCCGUUAUAUCCCCGAAGAGUGGAGACUUGAUCACUGACCUGCAACCUAAGUCAGGAUGUGAACCUCAUGAAUAAAAAUGAUGUUGUAUUGAUGAGAUGGUGAAAUUAGACCAGAUGCAAAUAGAGUCUAUUAAUAUUUAAUCUGGCAUUAAAAUAUUGAAAGUAAGAACUCACUUUAGUAAGCUAUUUCUGCAAAAGUAUCUAAGUUGAUUCUUGCUAAAGCCUCUCCUUGAUUCCUAAAUCCAGCAUACCCUUGAGAGUCUUUUCUUUAGUCGGGUAAGUCUUGCUGAGUAAUUCCAUACUCAGGGUUUUAUUCCCUGUUGUUUUUCAGGUUCUAACUUUGUGCUGCUUUUGAUGGUGUUAAGUGUAGGGAUGGCAACGGGUUUGAAACCCGCGGGUAUAUGGUUUUCAAACCCGCCUCCGCGGGUUUAAUAUUAAACCCGCACCCGUACCCGUUACCCGCGGCGGGUACAAUAUGCUACCCAUACCCGCGACCCGCGGGUGCCACAAACCCGCGGGCACAUAAUUAUACACAUAUAUUUAUACAUAUAUCAUCUAUAUAUACAUAUAUUUAUACACACAUAUAACUAUACAUAUACAAAUAUGUAUAUAUAUAAUAUACACACAUAUAAAAAUUACAUAUAUACACACAUAUAUAUAUACAUACACACACACACACACACACACACACACACACACACACAUAUAUAUAUAUAUAUAUAUAUAUAUAUAUAUAUAUAUAUAUAUAUAUAUCCAUUGCGGGUACGCGGGUUUGCGGGCACGGGUAUAACAUUUUCAUACCCGCGAGAAAAAACCCGUCGGGUUAAGAAUCAAACCCGCACCCGUACCCACGGGUACAAACUCACACCCAAACCCGCACCCUAUAGGGUUUUUACCCGCGGGCACGCGGGUAAAAUGUGCCCGUUGCCAUCCCUAGUUAAGUGCCGGUGGGCUCGGCCUUCUUAUAUAAGUAUAACCCGUCUUUAUCUUCUUACUGAGGAUGGUCAUUUGAGCUAGCAUAUAUUUCAAACUUAUACUUUUGUAAUCACUCCGAUAAAAUAAUAUAAAAUUUUUGUAACUUGUAAAAUUUGGUAAUAAGAUUUCCGCUGCAAAAAUAUUGGUGUGUGUGAUUUGUGUUACUUAAUCUCGCGGUUCUGGUUGUAAGUGGUUUAUCCGGUGUCCUUGGGGCAAUCGGACGGAUCCUGUUAAGUUAUCUGGUGCACAUGCACGGCCGUCUGAGGUCUUUGAGACAAGGACAGGUGCAUGUGGGCCCGAUAACUUGGAGGUUCUGCCACAGCUGGUAUCGGAGCUGGAUUAAGUAUGUACGAUCACAUACGUAUUUUCAAAACAAAAGUUUUGGUUUUAGAACACCUAUCUUCAACUAAACACAUUGUUUGGUUUUGAAAAUCAGAUUUGAAAAACUAUAAUGCUAGCGACAUCCUCUCUUAAGCCCUAAAUUAAGGACUAUCAGGUGGCUUAGUUGAAAACCACAACCGGGUGGGUAUUGCAUACAUGUGUAUUGUUAUUUUUAAGGCCAUUCAGUUUUGAAUGGAUCGAUGCUCAGGUAAGGUGAGAUGUGAGAGCAUGACCGAACAAACGUCGGUCUAGGGAAGAGCAUAAAAAGCGCUUGAUUAUAUACAUGUUCCACAUAUGUAUAUAUGAAGGCUGCGAUGUGGAGUAUUUACUUUUCUGGGAAUUCUGUACCCCAUGGAUGUGUAUGGGUAUACAGACAUGGGAAUACUGAGAAAUGUAAUGUACUUGUAACGACGCACCUACGCUCAGGUAAGAAGGUGAGUUACCAUAAUGAGUUGCCCUAUGGUUAAAGUGUGGCAACAGCGCCUAUGCGUGGCUCGGCGCUUAAUGAUGAGCUGGCCUCCAUAUAGCAAUAUAUGGAGUAUAAACUGUGAUAAACUGUCAUGUGUGAAUUGCAUCAUGGGGAAUUGGGCUGUGAUGAAUUUUCUGCAGGUAUACUAACCUCGAAAACGUAUGUGUAGCUGACGACUAGCAAAAUACCGUGAGAGUCGUAAAUAUGCCACCGAGAUAGAACGCUAAUGCCACAUUAUGUUGGCAAAACUCGUGAGGACGUGUAGGACGAGCAUGCAUCCUGAUUGUUGCAUCAUGUUUGUCACCUAUACACCCAAGAUGCUUCUCUCAUCCUUAUUCCAGUAACCAGUGAUUGUAGAUAAUGUGGUGUAAUGUUGUAUUAUGAACUUCGAUAAAAUAGUUGUUCUCCGUUCCUUAGGUAUUAUGUUUAGAUGCUAUAUGUGUUUGCCCUUGUGCUUGAUGUGUCGAUAGAAGGUUAGUGACUUGUUUUGCCUAAACCCAAAAUUAGGCCAUGUUCUUAUUAGGUAAACUGAGACCCAAAUUUGAAUUUACCAUUAUCCCUCUACGACUAAACUCAUGUAAAUGAAUGUUUAGAUAAUUUCUUUGUUGGACAUAAAAUGUACCCAACCUUAAAUCAAGGAUCUCAAACCAUGUCUCCUUCUAGAACCAUUUCCUUGUUCAGUUGAUGCAAGUUGAGGUCUCUAUGGUAUUUGGCCUCUCCUUGUGGAUUACCAUGUUACUUUAUCGACCCAACCUAGGAAAGACAUGUCCAACCAUUUUUCUGGAAUUUGAUGUCUUUGGUUUCCCCCAUAUCUAUCGAAGGCAUUCCAACUUAAUCUUAAUAUUGUUUUCCCCUGUAUCUAGUCAGAUACUGAUCCUUGACCUUGUGAUCUCUACGAUGGGCAUAGAAAUAUGCUUGGGGCUGAAGCAACAGUCUCCCGUCGUACUCCUUUCAUCAAAUUUAGGUUAUGGCCAUGCCUUGUUCAUUUCAUCGGGCCAUGAUCUAUUUGGCUCUCUACUUGUAACCAUUCUUACAAGUGGAGUCUAUUUUUGUAUAUUGCCAUCCUUGCUCAGUCUAUUUGUGUCGCGCGAGAUUUCUUAUUGGUUACGUCUGGUAAUGGCGUUAUGACUAAAACCAAUGGUGCCGUGACGAAACCGAGGGCCUCCUAUGGAUGCACACACAUGGUUGCGCUACUUGGCAUCCGCUGGUAUCACCGUUAGUAGUCAUAAUCCAUUAUUAGACUAUAUCGAUAUGUUAUCUUUACGUAGAUUAUUCUUACCCUGCGAGAUUCAUUAUUAGUGCCAGUUCGAUAAUGGCGUCUCGAUUAAUGACUUAUGAUACCCCGGCGAAACUAAGAGCCUCCUGUGAAUGUGCACACAGGAUUCUGCUGCUUGGCGCAUGCUGGUAUCGGAGCCUCUAGUCAUGAUCCAUUGUGGAACUACACCGAUGUGUGGUCUUCCGUGGACUCCUUCUUUGAAACAGUUUCUAUGUUGUUUCUCAAGUUAUCAAGCAACAUCUAUCAUCUUUGCCGGAUCAAAUGGACAUACCACUUUCAUGUGUGGUCUUAUUUCUUUUGAUCUUGGUAGUGACUACUCAUACAAGUUCCCUUUACAUCCUUUGUGUAAAGAUGAAGCCUUAGAGCGUUUAGUGUCGAGAGACAGCUGAUUAGCUCCCAAAAUGGAGAUUGGCUUUUUCCCCUGCUGUGGAGAUGCAGGAGUUUGUUCAUUCACUCUCUUAUUCAAUCCAUUUAUUCCCAAACCAAGUCAGUGGAUAAUUCAUCUCGCAUGAAGAAACAGAUGAACAACCUGACCAAAUGAAUUUCCACCCAAGUGCAUGAUCUCCUGUUAGCCAAAGUAAACUCUCGAUCGUUGGCUUACCGAUGGUACUGAGAGGACCGACUCAAUGUCAAAAGUAGUUCAACAAGUUGGUUUUUACUAACUUGUAACUGCAUUGUGAAUAAAGUUUGAGUUUAGAGAUUGUUUUAUCGAGUUAUCUAAACUCACUUUAGUUCAACCCAUCCUAAGAAAGUACUUACGAAAAUCGAGAUUAGGUCAACUAAUAACCACCUAGCCAUUGCUCUAGUCAUGUCUCGAUCGCCUCACGUGUGCUUUUCCAGCAUGUGUGACCAUAUCAAGCCAUGAUUAGUGCUCGAUAAAAUGGAUUUGUUACAAAAACAACAUUUACAGAUCCCUCCGUUGGUGAUGUUCUCGAAUCUAUAUCACCUUUCAGGGACUUGGAUUUUCUGGCUAGCCACGGGUCAACUGUGAUGUUAUUCGACAUUCACACCCAUCUCGUGUGCUAUGAACUUACCGUGACCACUUGUUGGUAAACCUCUUUCUGUAUGUUUUACCCAAGAGGUUGCAUCUGAUUCUGUUUUGGUAAAAUCGCGUAAUUGCCGCUCGCUCAAUAGACUCAGAUAGUGCAAUGUCAUCAGAAAAAGCAAACUGCACACAUGGAACCUUAUGUGUUCCUCUGGCAGACAUUGUCUCUAUUGUUGGACAUCUCUAAAUUAGCCUAAGGCGAUACAUGUUAUGUCCACUAGAGAAACAACAUCCUGAGACACUCGCCUUUAUUUGGAAAUGUCUCAUGAUUAUCGCUGAUAUGGACAUGGGUUACAUGCUUCUCUACUCUUAGAAGUCUUUCGUUUCAAAUCUCGGGACGAGAUUCUUUUAAGGGGGGAGGGGUGUAACACCCUUGGUGUUUAUAUUCCGCUCGACAACGAGUAUGGAUUUAAGCACGUAAUAUCAGUGGAUAAAACAAAUGUUAAAUUUUAAUUAUUCUCUCUAUCGCGAUUUUAUAUCGCAUCUAUUUCGUCUGUCGCGAGUGCGACAUCGUUUUUUUUAUUUUUAUCUAUCCGGGCUCGUCCUAAAUUUUCGUGCUGUUCGGAACAUAGUUGUUCCAAAAAUCGGUGCGUCCGGUGAUUAUUUAAAAUUCAUCGCUCGCGUGAAUACGAAUUCGGAAGUCCGAUCCACUCGGAUGAUUUUACCUCGAACAGAUUAAGUAGAACUCGACGACUAAGUUUUCGAUGCAAAUAAUUAUGUCCCCACUCGUCAACUGAGAAGUCGCGUCCAAGGAAUUAUAAUUGAGAUCCGAUUCUCCGCGUAAAUUAUCUGUGGCCGUGGAAACGGGUGUCGAGACCACGGAUAAAAGUUUCCGGUUUUGAAUUAAAUCCAAUCUAGCGCAGUCUAAGAUAUCAAAGAUAAUGACGUGGUCUGGUACUAGUUUAAAUAAAGUUAAUCGAUUUAGACGAACUGGAAAGGUCAACUAAGUAUUUCGCUCUGUUCGAGCGAUCCCUACGAAUUUGGUAGAAACACUACUAGGGGCGGGCUAUUUAAAUAAACCAAACUCGAACUAACCAAAACCAGAACAAUGGUUAGCCGAUUCGCUUUCCUAUUUAAAAAUCCGAGAAAAUAAUCUAUUAUUCGAUAGCGCUUUAAAUUGGCGAUAGCGCUUUAAAUUGGCCCGUUUACUCCUUAUUUUAAAUCCAAAUCCCAAUAUUCAGAACAGAUGAGGUUUAUCUGUUUUAAACCAAAUUUGACAUAGUUUGAAUUAUCCAAGCCGAUCUUGUUUGGUUGGGUUCGUGUGUUCCUCGCCUAUAUCCAAAUCUUCAGAUAUAAAUAACAGAUAACUUUUAUCUGGGUUCAACUAAAUUAAUGGUGUCUCAAGUAGUAUAUUUGUUUUAGUCCGGUUCAUUUAUAUCUCACCCAAACUCUAAUUCUAGCACCAGUAUUUCUUAAGAAAGAAAGAAGAAAUAUCCUAUUUUUCUAAUAGCCCUCGACCUUGGAAAACUCUUGAAGACACGCUCAACCUUAUGUCCUUGCCCAGUUUCUGGACGCAUGCGAGGGACCAAAUUCUUUUCUUCUACGCAUGCCAGAGACCAAAUUCUUUUCUUCUACGCGAGCAUAAGCCUCUUCUUUGUAUUGUCCCGCCGCCCUCCAUCAGGAUAUUUUCUCAGGCCCUUGUCUGUAUAUAACGCUCAUCGGCCUGAUCCAUUUUCUGAAAAAAAUCUCAUUCUCUUUCUUAUCCAUCCAUCGCUCAGCAGGAGCUUAUUUCUUACACGUCUCCAGCGUUCACUCAGGCGUCUUAGCAUUCUUUUCUCUGCUCCUCUCGGCACUCGUCUCAGCACUUCUUCCUCAGGCCGCAACCCUUCUCUGCCAUUUGUGCUUGGCUCCCAGAAGCUGCCGAGCUAGACUCCUCGUCGUGCGCUGUUGUGCUGCUCCAUGUCCGACCGUUCGUCUCUAGCUCGCCAUGGCUGCUCCAGAUCCUGCUCGCGAGUUUCCCAGCGCCGUCAGCUUGCCGGCAUCCAGCUCGCCUGUAUCAUGGCCGUCGCGCCGUCUUUACUCGUUGGCCGUGCGUUGCCGCGCACACGCGCCCGACACCCCGGUUCCUCUGUACGCCUUGGUUGCGCGCGCCGAACUGCGUCCUUCGCAGCUCGCUGGCUUUAGCUGCAGGACACCACCAGCCGUGCCUUCGUAUCCUGUGUCCUCGACUCGUCCACAGUGUCACUCGCGAGGUGCUCGAGGUAAUGGCAGAAUUGAAAAUCGUAGCUGUGCUCAUGGCCUUCAAGACAUAUUAAGUUAUUGGUGAGUUGUCGUCGCUCUCGCUUUUCGUUUUAAUAUUUCUCGUCAGUUUGGUAUACUUGCGCUAUUAACGUGGGCCGGUGACGUGCGCGUAAAUCGCAGUAGUGAAUUAGUCCCAGAAUAAAAUUUGAUCGGAUAGAAUAAUGAAGUCUAGUACGUUGCUCGUCACAUAUUUGGUGUUAUGCGCGGACCGGAAAGCGUCGUCGAUUUCGUGGUUUCAAGUCGGAAUUAAUGAGGGUAAGUUGAUUCAUUAUUCCAGUCAACUAGGUAUAUAAAUAGAUUAAAUAUAAUUGUUGGUCGCGAUAAUUGUUAUUAAUUUAGCAUAUGUAUAUUGUGAUGUUCGAUUUAGAUAAAUCGGUAAAUCAAGUUAAUUAAGAUACACAGUUUAAAGAGUUAAUUAGAUUGUUUCUAUAAUUAUUUUAAGUUGUUGGCAUUUAAUAAUAGCGAGUCUAGGUUUUACUAGACCUCUGAAAUAUAUUUUACUAAAAAUGAUAAUGUGUGUUUAUAAUUUAAUCUUGCUUGAUAAUAAAAUUAGAUGUGAUUGAACAGAAGAAAUGUGCGUGAUGUAAUUAGUAUGUAUAGUUUAUUAUUUUGUGAUUAUUGCGCGUAGUCGUAUGUCGAUAACUAGUGUGUCCGUAUAAAAUUGUACAAUGCCUCGCCGCUAGGUGUUUAGUUCGCUAUCGCGUAGCACUAUUUAGGGUUUUUGAUAUUCCUGUUUAUAUGCAUUCAUGUGCAUCGUGUAUCUCAAUUAGGUACGAUAAUUGAUCGUGUGAUGCGGAAGACGAGCCAAGUCGACCCCAAGCGCGGACUACUCCGCAUGGAGAUGCUGAUAAACGAACCUACCUGAUCAAGUGCUAGGACAAGGAUGAUCGUCAAGUGGACGUCACCUAACAACACUAACGUAGUGUUUAUUCCAGGCAAGCCCCGGUGCAUGCAACCCCUUCCUUGUGUUUUUAAAUAAUUUUUGCACACUUUAAGUCUAGUGAAAUGUGCAUUAGGUUUAUAGGAGUUGCUUGGAAACCCUUUGAUGCAUUGCCUUCCUUGAAA
rnacentral:lncRNA from 1 species